GAUGAACGCUGGCGGCGUGCCUAACACAUGCAAGUCGAACGGAAAGGCCCUGCUUUUGUUGGGUGCUCGAGUGCCGAACGGGUGAGUAACACGUGAGUAACCUGCCCUUGACUUUGGGAUAACAUCAGGAAACUGGGGAUAAUACCGGAUAGGAGCUCCUGCUGCAUGGGGGGGGUUGGAAAGUUUCGGCGGUGGGGGAUGGACUCGCGGCUUAUCAGCUUGUUGGUGGGGUAGUGGCUUACCAAGGCUUUGACGGGUAGCCGGCCUGAGAGGGUGACCGGCCACAUUGGGACUGAGAUACGGCCCAGACUCCUACGGGAGGCAGCAGUGGGGAAUAUUGCACAAUGGGCGGAAGCCUGAUGCAGCAACGCCGCGUGCGGGAUGACGGCCUUCGGGUUGUAAACCGCUUUCGCCUGUGACGAAGCGUGAGUGACGGUAAUGGGUAAAGAAGCACCGGCUAACUACGUG
rnacentral:rRNA from 1 species